AACGAACGCUGGCGGCAUGCCUAACACAUGCAAGUCGAACGCUCGCAAGAGAGUGGCGGACGGGUGCGUAACACGUGGGAACCUGCCUUUGGGUACGGAACAACACCGGGAAACUGGUGCUAAUACCGUAUAAUGCCUACGGACCAAAGAUUUAUCGCCUGAAGAGGGGCCCGCGUUGGAUUAGCUUGUUGGUGAGGUAAAGGCUCACCAAGGCGAUGAUCCAUAGCUGGUCUGAGAGGAUGAUCAGCCACACUGGGACUGAGACACGGCCCAGACUCCUACGGGAGGCAGCAGUGGGGAAUAUUGGACAAUGGGCGAAAGCCUGAUCCAGCAAUGCCGCGUGAGUGAAGAAGGCCUUAGGGUUGUAAAGCUCUUUCGUCCACGACGAUAAUGACGGUAGUGGAAGAAGAAGCCCCGGCUAACUCCGUG
rnacentral:rRNA from 1 species